rnacentral:rRNA from 1 species
UUGUCUUUGUGUGAGCUUCUGCAGGUCCCUUUCAGCAUUGAAGAUCCAGAUUACAAGGGGCUUGAGCUGGAUGUGAUGUCUCCAUGUGAGAAGCACGGCAUGGCAUCUGAGAGGCUUGUUGCCUUUGAAGGAACAGACACAGGCAGGCGGUUUUUAGCAUGUGCACAACCGGCAGGUAGCAAUUGUGGCUUUGUUGAAUGGGUUGAUCACCAGUGGCCCCCAACAAUGCAGUAUGCAUUGUUGAAGCUAUGGGCAAUGGUUGAAGAUGCCAAAACUGCUAGGGUGAAUGACAAUCUUGAAAGUUCUUUCACUAUCCACCAUCUGACAGAAGAGAAGAACAAGCUGGAUGCCAACUAUGACAAGCUAGUCCAAGAUGUGCAUGAGCUGAUGAACUUCCAGGAAGAUAAGGUGGUGGAUUUCAGACAUCUGCAGUCUGCCAUUACAUAUCAGCAGGAGGUAAGAAAAGAACUGAUUGAUGAUAUGAAGGCACAGAUGGCAAGUGAGAUGGCAAAGAAAGAUGAAGAGACCCAGAAACUUACUCUCAAGUAUGAGCUGCUGCUCAACCUGACAAGAGCUCAAGCAACAGUCAUUCAGAACUUGAAGCUGAACAAAAUGAAAGAGAAGCAAGUGCUUACUGAAGCUAGUAUGAAUUUGGAGCUGAAGAAUGCAAAGCUAACAAAGUGUCAGGAGAAGCUCACCCAAGAGAAGCUAGAGUUGAAGCUUGAGGUUGCUGAUCUGCUUAAGGGAAAUGAAAAGCAUAUUGAAGAGAAGUGGCAGUUAGAGUUUCAGAAUGAAAAGUUGAAGGAGAAGUUCAGGGAGAUUCAGGCCAUCUUGGAGAAGUGA